rnacentral:misc_RNA from 1 species
CGAGAAAGGAGGUCGAGCAGAAUGGCCUUGCGCUGAGACGGAUUCGUGGCAGUGGAUUGAAGCGCGCGAGGAAAGUAAAGAUCUUCCUGCAACGAAAGCCUUUCCGACAAGCAAUCCAUGGCUUCACAACUCAAUCCUUUCGCAGCGGCUGUCUCCGCCGUCUCCGUCGUCGCCGUUUCCAUCUUCUCCUCUCGCCGCCGUCUCUUCCCCGGUG